ACGAACCGCACAAACGUUAUUCGGAAUCACUGGGCUUAAAGGGUGCGUAGGCGGUCCGGAAAGUUGGGUGUGAAAUCCCUCGUCUCAACCGAGGAACUGCGCUCAAAACUACCGGACUUGAGGGAGACAGAGGUGAGCGGAACUUAGGGUGGAGCGGUGAAAUGCGUUGAUAUCCUGAGGAACACCAGUUGCGAAGGCGGCUCACUGGGUCUUUUCUGACGCUGAGGCACGAAAGCUAGGGGAGCGAACGG
rnacentral:rRNA from 1 species